rnacentral:rRNA from 1 species
UACGUAGGGGGCUAGCGUCGUCCGGAUUUAUUGGGCGUAAAGAGCUCGUAGGUGGUUCGGUAAGUCGGAUGUGAAAUCUCCAGGCUCAACCUGGAGGGGUCAUUCGAUACUGCCGUGACUAGAGUUCGGUAGAGGAGUGUGGAAUUCCUGGUGGAGCGGUGAAAUGCGCAGAGAUCAGGAGGAACACCCGUAGCGAAGGCGGCACUCUGGGCCGAUACUGACACUGAGGAGCGAAAGCGUGGGGAGCGAACAGG